ensembl:lncRNA
AUCUUUAAAAAAAUUUUUGAAGGAAGGAAAAUAAAAUCAUUUUGAAACAAAGUUGUUUAAGGUUACAGUUUUAGACUUAUGCAGUGAGAGGAGGAGGUGACAGAAGUAAAGGAUAAAGAAAGUGUAAGCAGAUGAGAUGCAGGCAGAUGUGUUUUCAUGGGGAUGUAGGAAAUGCUAUUAGUUUGCUUAACACUAAAGUGCAUCUGUCCCUUAUUGAGUGAUGAAAGCCCAGGAGACUGACUGUCCACACAAGUCCAGCUUUACAGGAUGAGCAUGUGAAAUUCACGGAAUAGCUAACUUACAUGAAAUAUGACCACGCCACUAAACAGCAACACAAUGGAAAGUGCAUCUGAGAACACUCAUGGAAUACGAUCAAGCAUAGCUGAUACAGAGUCCUUGAAAGGUGGUAGUAAAUAUACUCAUUUAAAGACUUUCACCUGUUGCUUUAAAUCAUUCAUACCCCACAGCAUGUCUGCCAGCACUAUGACCCUUGGCGCAGAGUGAGGAACAUCAAAGAAAAAAGUGAGGAGAUCAAGUCUCAGAAGCUGCUGCACUUUUUCCCUGGACAAGAAUGAUGGCUUCUCAAAGAGAGUCCAGAAGUCAUCUUUAGAGUCUGGAUGCUGUCUCUGCUUCAGAGUCUCUCUGCCAUAAAACAAGCAUCCACACAGCCUUCUUCCUCUUCUGCUGCCUGUGAGAUGAAGGUCAUUGCCUUUCAAGGCGAGGCAGGCAGAGAUCCUUGUCUUUCAUUGCCCUGUGUGCUAAGCUUUCUCACUUCCAGCAGUGGGGAAGGGUCAGAGAUUGCUGGAUUUUUCUAUGAACUUUGGAAUUUUGUUACCACACUAAAAGCCCAGCUUUCAGUAAAUCCAUACCUGAAGGGCUCUCUGGAACGUGUUUUGAGGCUGGCUCUGGAGACCCUCGUUGUAUCAGCUCUUCCAGCAAAAAUUUCUCAAUGCCAUAUGCAACAAAAUGCAGAGAUGGAUUAUAGGCUUCCAGCAAGUUACCACUGCCAAGGAGGAUGCAAAGAUAGGCAGUCUCCUGGCAUCCCCUGCUUGAAGACAAUGUACCGUAUCACGGUGGGGAAAAAAGAAAUAAAAAAGCAGAUUUCUCUGGACAGCAAUCAUCCUUCAGCUUCUAAGAAAGAACAGUCUGACUAG